UCAUUUUUUACUAAAUUCACAUUACGAAAUAAAUAUAUUUUUUUAACAGAAUAAAAAAAGACGAUAGAUUCUUAAAGUACAACUCUUCCUUUUCCCACUGAUCAUCAUUUUAAUUACUUUAUCUAUUUUUUUUUAAUAAAUACCGGCGUUUGAAAAAAAGGCAAAUUUUUACAAAAUUUUUUUGUUCCUUUCUCAUUUUUUUCAAAAAAUCGCGUUUCUUUUAAUGUUUUCGACUUUUCAGCCAAGACCAUUAUAAUUCUGAGAUUUUUUCCUUUUGAUAAAAAAAAAGUUAAAAUUGAUUAAAUACAUUUGGAGAUAUAAGUCAACAAAAUUUUGAGGUUAGCGUAACCCCUGUGCGUAGGAAUCGGGAGAAAAAUAAGGUGUGUAAGCAGAGGGUUAAAAUUACUUGAAAAAAUGAUAAAUGAAAAGUUGAUAUGGAUUGCCGAAAGAAAUAAAUGGAUGAACGAAACGCAAAAUGGUUUCAGAAAGCGAAGAUCAUGCAUAGACGACCUGACGAAACUAAUAGCACACUUACAAUUGGCUAAAGAAAGAGAUACAAAUACUAUAGUAGUUUUCCUUGAUAUAAGAUCUGCAUAUGAUAACGUUAAGGCCCACAUACUAAAUAAGAUAUUAUUGGAGAAAGAGUGCCCCAAGAAAAUAAGAAAAUUCAUUAUGAAAUGGAUGAUAGAAAGACGGACAAAAUUUAUUAUAGAUGCAAAAGAAACCAUAGAAAGAACAAUCAACAAAGGACUCCCGCAAGGAGGCGUUCUAAGCCCCAUCCUUUACAACAUCUACACUGCAAAUAUAACAAGAAACCUUAACAAAGAAAUACAAGUACUACAAUAUGCUGAUGAUAUUGCAAUUACAUAUAGCAACGACGAUCUAAUAAAAUAUCAAAAAAGAAUAGAGAAAGCUAUUGAUACUUUAAAUGAAAAUCUAAAACAAGUAGGCUUGAACUUAGAAUCUGCUAAAACUAAUUUUAUGCUAUUUAACAACAAGAGAAAGAAACGUAAGCAAAUAAGCAUAAAAAUAAGUAACUUGAGAAUUAGAAAUACUAGAAUAUUCAAAUUCCUGGCCGUAACAUUCGAUGAAGAGCUAAACUUUGAAGACUAUCUAUUGGAAAUUUAAAGGAAGACCAAUAAAGUAAUCCAAAGAAUGAGAUACGUGAAUAGAGUAAAUUGGGGUAUGGAUGUAAAUACGGCACUAAUAAUAUAUAAGAGUUAUGUAAGAGCUACCAUGGAAUAUGCAAUAAAUAUUGUAUACCCCAGACUACAGAAAGAUAGAAAAAUAGAAAAGUUACAGAAUAAAGCAUUAAGAAUUGCCAUGAGAUAUAGGAACAGUACUCCCAUAAAUGUAAUGCUGGCUGAAUCUAAAUUAAUAUAAAUGGUAGAGAGGGCAGAACUUCUAGCAAGAAAUUACUAUACUAAAAUAUGUAAUUACCAAAACAGAGACUUAAAAAACUUACUCAAUAGACUAUACAUAAUCAUCGCCAGAAAUAGAUUUAGAACUAUAACCAAAAAAAGAUUUUUAUUCUUGGAUAGUGGGAGAAGUCAAGAAUCAUAAGGAUAAAUUUCAGGAAAAAAGACACCUCCCAAUCUUUGAUUGUGACUACUGGGCUCUAACUAACAAGACAAUAAUAGAUCUUGAAAUAGGAAAGAAGAAAAAGAAGACCACUGAUAUGUCGGAUGAUACCAUCAUGAACAAAUUUAAAAACAAAUACAACCUGAAUCAAAACUUUCAGAUUAUAUUUACGGUCGGUUCUAAAAAGGAAAAUGGAAAAAGCACGGGGGUGGCCAUAGUACUAGAUAACAUGGAAACUGUGUAUACAAUAAGCAUAUAUGACCACUGUUCAAUAUACACAGCAGAGAUGCUGGCCAUAGAAAAAGUUCUAUGGCCAUAGACUUAGAAAUCAAAAAGGACCUACUUAUUCUGUCAGAUUCACAUAGCGCUUGUGAAGAACUAGCCAACCUUCUUAACGGUCAUAAACACGAAUACGCAGUAAAACUUAAAGAAAAGAUACAAAAGUAUAGAGAAGACGGGAGAAAUAUCAGGUUAUCAUUGGCUGGAUACCUAGCCACAAAGGUAUAAAAGGAAAUGAGUUUGCAGACAGUCUAGCAAAAGAAGCUACAAAGGAAAAAACGGAUACAAGAAUAAAAAUUCCAGAAAACGACUGGAAAAAUGUAAAUAGGAUGAAUAUGACCAACAAAACAAAAGAAAAAAUCAUCUCGGAAGCUAACUACAAAGGUAAGCUGUAUUUCAAGAAGUGUAUUACGAAGAAAGUGCUAAACCCUGGUUCAAUAAAAUCAAGGAAGAGAGAGGCUUCAUCAAUAUGAUAAAUAGGUUGAGAGUCAACCAUUACAAUUUAAAUGAAUCUCUGAGUAGGCAAGAAUAUACAAAAAACCCAAGGUGCGACUGUGGAGCCGAAAAUAGAACAUCCAACACGUGGCUUUCCAAUGUAGUAAAUAUGACGAUCUCAGAAACAAUAUGUAUAGACAGUUAACAACCAUCAAGGAAAGAUACCCCUACGAUAUAGAGAUGUGGCCGAGGCAACUCAAGUUAGAGACCUUGAAAAUACUAUGGCUUUUUAUCAAGUAAACGGGCAAAAUGAUAUAAACCUGAUAAUACAGCCUUCAAACGAAAUCAACGAGAAGGAGUAUCUACAUAGCCAUAAAUACGUGGAGGCUGAUGAACACUAAAUACCCAUACAAAAAAAAUUACACGCAAGCUGACGCGUGGCGCGAGCGAGCCACUGGCGACCUACGUGACAUUAUACACAGUGCUAUAAUGUAGAGACCCUUUAAUAAGUGUGCUUUCCAGCAAGACACAGUGUAACACAGUGUCCAUUAGUGUGAGAAAGAACAUAUCAGUGUGUCUCACUCACAUUAGUGGACACUGUGUUACACUGUGUCUUGCAAGAAAGCACACUAACAAUAAGAGUCUAGCCAUCAUACAUAUCGUGUGCUUUCCAGAAGGACACAAUGUAACACAGUGUCCAUUAGUGUGAGAAAGAACAUAUUAGAGUGUGUCUCACUCACCCUAGUGGACACUGUGUUACAUUGUGUAUUUCUGGAAAGCAUAUCAAUAUCUUGAUUUGAAGCAUUGUGAUUGGUCCGCCAUUUUUUUCUUUAAUGGCGUAGUAAUAUUACGUGAUGUCGUCAAGUAUCAGUUGCAUCAGCUUUUCUCAGCAAUUCGUACUGUAUGUGAUCGUACUGUGAUAAAAAGAAAAUAAUAAAAGCAAAAUAUUCUUAAUAAUAAUAUUUUCUACAAGAUAAUUUUUAGAUUGAGAUUAUUAGGUAAGUACUUUUAAUGUCACACUAUUAUAAAAUAUCUUUAAACUUAAUUAAUUAAUAUAACCUUACUUUUAAGACUACAUUUACAAGCACCGUUUGCUUACACUGGUUUAAUAACAACCGUAAUUAGUAGAACUCUUGUAUUUAAUUAGAGUAUAUUUUUAGAUCUAAAAUAAAACACUAAUCGGAUAGAAGAGUUCACUAUGGUUGUUACUAAAGCAGUGCGUGAAAACGUAGUCUAUGUUAAACUUACUGUAACAUCUGUAACUAAGAAUUAUUUGUAACCAAAACUUGAUAGAGCAAAAUUAAAUAAACUAAUAAUAGUUUAUCUAAUAAUAAAUGUUUUUACAGAUUUAUUAUUGUUUAUAUAUCAUUUAUUAAAUUAUUGAGUAUUUCAGCAACAUGACUGCUUGUACAGCUCCUGACUGUACAAAUUUCAAUAAUAAAGGAUUUAUUAUGAAAAUUUUCCCCCGAGAUCCGACUCGGCAUGCUCAAUGGGCAGCAAAUGUUAGCAAAGAAGACUAAACACCUACAGCCGGAUCAUUUCUGUGUGAAGUUCAUUGCUCACACAAUAUGUAGGAAAAUAAACGAGCUGACGGAAAAAGAAAGCUGAAAGUAAAUGCUGUGCUGACAAUAUUUAGAAGCGAAGCAAAGAUGAUUAAAAGUUACCAUGAAAACAUCAAUGCUUCACUAAAUGACGUGGGUUGUGUUACGAAUGAUUUGUCAUGAGUGCAAAGUGAAAAGGUCGAAAAUGAAAAAGAAAGUAAUAAUUGCAAUGAUGAGGAUGAACUACAAUUGGAAAGUGCUGAACGUAAAAAGGAUAAUAGAGAACUUAAAAACAUGUCACGUAUAAUAAAAAAGCAAACAAAUUAUAUGUGGGCAAGCACGUAUAAUUAAAAAUCAGAAUGUCAAAGUAGUAAAAUAUAAAAAAUGCGUGCUUAUUGCACGACGUGACUUAAAGGCAUUAAAAUUGAAAAUAAAACAAAAUAUUGUUGCGAGUGUGUUCUCGUGCACGUGAGCGCGAGCUUUAGGCUGAAAUCACAUGGUGCGGAAUAGAGCUGCGGAAUAGAAAGUGCGUCAUAGAAGCAACCGAGCUAUUCCGCAUUUUCUGUUCCGCAAAUGUUUGACCGGCCUGUUCCCAUGGUGCGUCAUAGACGGGCAAUGAUGCAUCCGGAAUGAAAAUUAUAGAUGUAAUACAACUUUUAAAAUAAAUCAAACGUUUUUAUAAAAUGUAAUAUUUGUAAUAGCAAUAAUAAUCAUUAAUAUAAUAUUAUAUGAAAUUUUGUAUUGAAUAUUAAAAAGUUGAAAAUAAUAUUUUUAAAUUUUUGAACUGCAUUGACGCAUUCUUGGUCAUUUUUUCUGCACUAUGUGAACAGGCCGGUCAAAGAUUUGCGGAAUGCGUGAUGCGUGAUGUAGCCUUGGUCGUACACCAUGCAAUAUUGUUAACCUUUUUUGCUAAAACUUUGUUUUUGUCAGAAAAUAGUAAAGGUUAUGAAUAUGGAAAAUAAAAUAGUGAUGAUUCAAGAGUCUAUUAAAGUUUUAAUGAGAGUAUACAUGAGAAGAACUCCAAUGCUCCGGUAUCAAAAGGAAAAAAUCAGAUUUGCUUUAGUAAAAUUAUGGCUAUUAUAUACAAAAUUGUCAAAGCAGAAAUCCAAGAGAAGGAUGUGGGUCAGGCCUAUUUAUUCAAUUGAGCAGCGUUUCUCUCAAGGAGAUAGUGACAAUUUAGUUAAUAUGUUACGAAUGACAGAUCCUUCUCUAUAUUUUAAUUAUUUAAGAAUGGAUGUUAGCAUCUUUGAAGAUCUACUAUUAAUAGUAGGUCCCGGAAUUGAAAAACAAUUAAAUAUUAGAGAACCAAUUGCUUCAUACACAAGACUGCAAAUAUGCUUAAGGUAUUUAGCAAGUGGAGAUAGCAUGAAGUCUAUUGGAUAUGCUUUUCGAGUCGCACCAAAUACUGUCUCAAAAAUAAUUCAUUCAACUGUUACUUGGUUAUGGCUACAAUUGCAACGAAUUCUAUGACGCUAUGACGCAACGACGCCAAUGACGCGAACGCUUGCAAAAAAGGUUAUAGACACUGCGGCAAAGCUCUGAUUGGCUGCGUCUAUGACGCACGUUUUAUUCCGCAGCUCUAUUCCGCACCAUGUGAUUUCAACCUUAGUCUGCGCUCCGGAAAAAUCAAUAGUAUCGAUUGCCUCGGUCAGCUGAGCUUAGAGUAAACAGCGUUGCCGAGGAGUUGUAAACAAAUGAAUGGUUGUUGUUCUAGAGACGUCGUCUCGUGUGGACGUAUUCUGAAUAUUUGUAAACGUGUUCGCAGUUUUAAUAAAGUUCCUUGUUUGCCAAAAGCGUGUUUUUAUUCCGCCGCGCUCACGUAUGGAAGUGAAGGUGUCGCGGAAGCGUUCAAGCGCAACAAUAUUAAUGCAGCUCUGUUAAACAAGCUACAAGAAACUUCACUAACGAUCAAAUUAACAGCUUUAAAAAAACAAUAGAAGAGUACAGAAGUGGACCAACGAAACAAUUAUAAAAGCACUUUGAUUAAGAUUUUCUUGUGGCAUUACCGAUUAUGAAGAACUCCGUCGCCAGAAAUUUCCUUUGCCAGGACUUCAAACAUUGAAAAGAAAAUUGGAAAAUUUUAAAUUUGAAAGCGGAAUUUCAGACAAUAUUCAAAUUUUUUAAACUGAAGGUAUCAAAUUGAAACAAAAUUGAUAAAGAAUAUUGUCUAGUAUUCGAUGAAAUCAGCAUUUCAUCAGGGAAUAUUUUCGAUAAUUCCUCUCAAAGUUACAUUGGUAAUGUAACUUUGCCAGGACACACAGAGCCAAAUCAAUUGAUCUCACCGUAAAUUUGAUUACUUCCGAUAUGGGAUCUGGCAAUCAGGCUUUGUAGAAAACAUUAGGGAUAACAGCAGGAAGACAUCCCAGAAUAGUAAAUUACAUCACACAUCUAUGUGACAUUAAUCAUAAUUUGUAUGUUAUCGCGGAUGUACCGCACCUACUAAAAAUUUGAAAGCAUGUCUUCUAAAUAAGUUCCUCAUGAUACUUAAAAAUAUUGUACGUAAAUAUAAUUUGCACAACAAAUAUAAUACAAGCAAAACAUUUCGAAGAAUUAAUUUUAACGCAAAAAGAAUUUCAGUUUUUAUUAACGCCAAAUUAAGUAUAAGCGAUAUCGAUACUAAUAAUAAUUUUGCUAAAAUGCGUGUCAAUAAAAUGAAAAAUUUAUUGAGUGAGCACUGCUUUGGAGCUUUUAGCCGAUGAAAAUUCAGCACCAGAAUACAUUACUACAGCAUUUUUUAUCAAAAUAAUAGUAAAAUGUUAUACGGUUAUGACUUUAAAGCACUGCAGCAUUUCUUUGAGUACAAAAGAUUUGGCGAAAUAUAAAAAUACUGUUUCUUUUUUAAAUAAAGUUAUAGACAUAUUUACUAAUCUUCAUGAUGGUAACAAAGGAGAUUUUAACCUGUUCAAAAAAGAGUGAUUAUUUUAACUAAAUCUAUUUUAGAAUUGGCAGAUUAUCUCUUUCGUGAAAGAAAAUUUCAAUUCUUAUUGAUAGGUAGACUUAUGCCAGACUGUGUAGAGAAUCUUUUUUCUGUUUUUCGAAUCAAAAAUGUUACUUUAAAUGCUUUACAAUUUAAGAAUAAUCUUAAAUUAAUUGCCAUUUCUUUGUAUAUGCGUUCAGUUUCUCGAGGUAAUUACAAAGAAGACGAUGCGCAAUAUGUAACAGGUUUAUUAGAUGUAAUUGGCGAACAUAAAUCUGAGUUUCGUAAUAAAUAUAGCCCGGAUUUUCCAACGGCCGUUGGGCAAAUCUGAGUCGACCGUAGUACGUUCCUCACGGCUCUCCCUACUUCGACCGUAGGCGGGAGCGCACCAUCGCUCCCCACCAUCACGCGCUUCCGCCCGCUCCUCUCCGACUCGAACGCGUAAAGUGGGAAGAGCUAGCUACGGUCGACGCGAUUUCAGAACUUUAAUCCGGGCUCUAGUAAUGAAUGAAAUGCUGAUCUGUCGUACCUGCAGAUCUUUCCGUCUGAGCCUGCAGCUCAGAAAGAAUUAAACUUUAUAAAAGAAUUGAACUCUAUAGAAAGUAAUUUUUUAUAUAGUAUCGCAGAAUACAUUGUAACAAGCAUUUAAAAAAUACUAAACUAUGUCAGCAUUGCAUUCAAAGUGUAGGUUCCACACAUCGAAAUUUGUCAAAACAUGCGAGAUGAGUUUGAUUGCGAAGUUAUAAAGACAAUACUCUUUUUUUUGUAAACAAUGAAGCAUUUGAAUUAUUUAAAAAAAUGGAGUAUAUAUUUAGGCAGCAUCAAAAAUCUACAUGCAAUAACAAUAGCGGUUAUAACAACCUUUUAGUUGAUAAAUUUUGAAAUAUUUUAAGCAAUAGUUAUAUUUUGUUCUGUCAUAAUUUAUAUAGAAAAAUAGCAAAUAGAUAUGCAAUUUAUAGAAUGAGGACCGCAAACAGAAAAAAAGAUUAUUAAACGUAAAUACGACAAAUCGAUGGCAAUGCAUAGUGCAAUAAAAUAACACAAAUUGUGAAAAUUUUAUUUAAUUUUCUACUUAAUCAUCGAAUGGUUAAACUUUUUACGUUACACUUGUCUUUCGCUACUAUUUACACGUUAUACAUUGUACACUAGAUAUUAAAAAAUAAUGUUAUUAAUAAAAA